GGCCCAAAUCUGAAGUAAGGUAGAUUGGUAGGGUCAGCUGAUCCUUCUAUUUUACUGUACUUAAAAACUGGGCCC
rnacentral:pre_miRNA from 1 species